AUUGAACGCUGGCGGCAGGCCUAACACAUGCAAGUCGAACGAGUGGCGGACGGGUGAGUAAUGUCUGGGAAACUGCCUGAUGGAGGGGGAUAACUACUGGAAACGGUGGCUAAUACCGCAUACCAUCAGAUGGGCCCAGAUGGGAUUAGCUUGUUGGUGGGGUAACGGCUCACCAAGGCGAGGAUCCCUAGCUGGUCUGAGAGGAUGACGAGCCACACUGGAACUGAGACACGGCCCAGACUCCUACGGGAGGCAGCAGUGGGGAAGAUUGCACAAUGGGCGAAAGCCUGAUGCAGCCAUGCCGCGUGUAUGAAGAAGGCCUUCGGGUUGUAAAGUACUUUCAGCGGGGAGGCGUUACCCGCAGAAGAAGCACCGGCUAACUCCGUGCCAGCAGCCGCGGUAAUAC
rnacentral:rRNA from 1 species